GCGGGGGGCGCUCCCUGUGGCCGCGGCCGCGGCCGCGCAGUCCGGGAACUCGGCUCCGUCAGACUUCCGGGAAAGAGGCGGCGGCUUUUCUUCCCCAAAAUCCAGCAGGUUCAUUGGAUGUGCUUUUGUUUUACAGUGGAAAACUACAGUAAAAAAAAAAAACAACAACAACAACCAUUGCGAUGAAAAUAAGUGAGAGUAGAACCUGCCGGCUUCACUUCCUAGAGGCUUUCUGUUGGGUCUUGAAACUAGGAAUCUUUGCGGGUCAUCCUUGUAAGUGCCUUUUUCAUCCGUUCACACUGGUGCUUGUCCGUCUCUGAUGCGUUUAACAUCGUUAGACUGCUGACGUGGUGACAUUGUGCUAAGUUGAUUUGAUGAUGAUUUCUGCUUUGAUCGGUUAACAUCGCCUCCCUUGAUGACACGCCAUAGAUGCAUACACGUUGCAAAAAGAAAGGCGCGGCGGAAGAGGUGUCUUUUUAACCCUGUGGUAAAAUACGUAUGAAAAUACUCCCUAAAGCGCUGCCAGUACCGAGAGAGGGGAGCAUUAUUCAGGGCGCAUGAGCUGAACAGCCAGGAAAUCAUUUAAUUUUAAAUUGUCCAGUGCCGGUUGAAGAUCACUCCAAAACCAGAAUGAGGCAUCCCUGGGAUGGAACUGUUCCAGGAGCUGCGAAUACGGCCACGAGCAAAUGUAGAAUCCCUGCCCACGUGAAACGUGUGCUCCAGUUGGAGACGACAGGCCAUAUAAACAACCUGCUUGGAACUCUUGUGUCCUCCACUGUUGUCUGCACCCUGACAUCUGCUGCGGUCUCGUUUGCUCCGACUGCUCCCUCAGUUCCCUGCCAGGUGGACUUCUUCCCCAGCCCUGGCCUACACAGCCCUUACUCAGCUGCGAUUCUGUCUGCGGCCGAAGAGCAAACCGCUUCUCUCAUUGCAUCCCGAAUCAAAGUGUCUGCCUAUCUCCUCUAGGCUUUAAUCAAGAUCAGCCAUUUAUUUCCAAAGGCCAGAAGCUUCCACAAUGAAGGCGACUCGCAUGUUCUCUUCUUGCAGAACAUUAAGGAGGAGGCUUGAUGGAAGCCAAGCGAUUCUGCUAUCCCAUUGUGUGGUUCUGUUAUCAUAUUGCUUUUCUUUUUAAGCUUCUUAGCUAUUAUGCCAAAUAUAAAAGUAACUCUGACUA